rnacentral:rRNA from 1 species
GAUGAACGCUGGCGGCGUGCCUAAUACAUGCAAGUCGAGCGAAUGGAUUAAGAGCUUGCUCUUAUGAAGUUAACGGCGGACGGGUGAGUAACACGUGGGUAACCUGCCCAUAAGACUGGGAUAACUCCGGGAAACCGGGGCUAAUACCGGAUAACAUUUUGAACCGCAUGGUUCGAAAUUGAAAGGCGGCUUCGGCUGUCACUUAUGGAUGGACCCGCGUCGCAUUAGCUAGUUGGUGAGGUAACGGCUCACCAAGGCAACGAUGCGUAGCCGACCUGGGCAGGUGAGCGGCCACACUGGGACUGAGACAGGGCCCAGACUCCUACGGGAGGGAGAAGUAGGGAAUCUUCCGAAAUGGACGAAAGUCUGACGGAGCAACGCCGCGUGAGUGAUGAAGGCUUUCGGGUCGUAAAACUCUGUUGUUAGGGAAGAACAAGUGCUAGUUGAAUAAGCUGGCACCUUGACGGUACCUAACCAGAAAGCCACGGCUAACUACGUGCCAGCCGCCGCUGUAA